ACCCGGGGGGCGUGCUAACACAUGCAAGUCGACGAUGAAGCCCUUCGGGGUGGAUUAGUGGCGAACGGGUGAGUAACACGUGGGCAAUCUGCCCUGCACUCUGGGACAAGCCCUGGAAACGGGGUCUAAUACCGGAUAACACCCCCUCUCGCAUGGGAGGGGGUUGAAAGCUCCGGCGGUGCAGGAUGAGCCCGCGGCCUAUCAGCUUGUUGGUGAGGUAGAAGCUCACCAAGGCGACGACGGGUAGCCGGCCUGAGAGGGCGACCGGCCACACUGGGACUGAGACACGGCCCAGACUCCUACGGGAGGCAGCAGUGGGGAAUAUUGCACAAUGGGCGAAAGCCUGAUGCAGCGACGCCGCGUGAGGGAUGACGGCCUUCGGGUUGUAAACCUCUUUCAGCAGGGAAGAAGCGAAAGUGACGGUACCUGCAGAAGAAGCGCCGGCUAACUACGUGCCAGCAGCCGCGGUAAUACGUAGGGCGCAAGCGUUGUCCGGAAUUAUUGGGCGUAAAGAGCUCGUAGGCGGCUUGUCACGUCGGUUGUGAAAGCCCGGGGCUUAACCCCGGGUCUGCAGUCGAUACGGGCAGGCUAGAGUGUGGUAGGGGAGAUCGGAAUUCCUGGUGUAGCGGUGAAAUGCGCAGAUAUCAGGAGGAACACCGGUGGCGAAGGCGGAUCUCUGGGCCAUUACUGACGCUGAGGAGCGAAAGCGUGGGGGAGCGAACAGGAUUAGAUACCCUGGUAGUCCACGCCGUAAACGGUGGGAACUAGGUGUUGGCGACAUUCCACGUCGUCGGUGCCGCAGCUAACGCAUUAAGUUCCCCGCCUGGGGAGUACGGCCGCAAGGCUAAACUCAAAGGAAUUGACGGGGGCCCGCACAAGCAGCGGAGCAUGUGCUUAUUCGACGCAACGCGAGAACCUUACCAAGGCUUGACAUAAUACGGAAAGCAUCAGAGAUGUGCCCCCCUUGUGUCGAAUAAGGUAGUGCAUGCUGUCUCAGC
rnacentral:rRNA from 1 species